UUUACAUUUACAUUUUUCAAUAUCAAUAUUAUUAAUUCAGGAUUAUUACUAUUAUUUACCCUUACUUUGUCAUGGAAUAUUACUUCUUUGUGACACUGGACCAACUUUAAAAGACUGAUUAUUUUAUAACUAUCUAAUUUUUAUUUUUUUUUUACGUCAACUAUCUAAUCUAUCCUAUACUAAAAGGUGAAUAUGGAGUGUUUUUAGCCUGUCCACGUAGGCAAAUAUAUUUAACCAAUCAAAACAUUCCAAUAAUACAUGCUGGCAAAAAAACUGGGUAGCAGAUCUCUUGCUUACGUACGGACUGUGUUUGAUGGGCUUCUCCGGUUCGUGUUGGGCUUUGCUACCCAAUUCGAAUAAAAAAAAACUUCAAGGCAAGACGGAUAACACGAAGCUCUACGCUUCUCGCUCUUCGUCUUCACCUUUCUUCACCAUUGUUUCAGUUCUCCCGAUCUAGAACUCCACAAUCAAUACUCCACUACAUCUCCAUCCAUCAAUUCCUUCUUUAUGAUUUCGAUUCCGUUUAGAUUGGUUAGGGUUUAGAUCUCGAUUUGCUCAAUUUGUUGUUCGUUUGCUUUUGUAGGUGGUUACAGUGAAAGUGUUAUUAGCUUAAACGAUGGAGAAGGUGUACGAAGAGCUAGACGAAGUCAAAGCCGUGAAUGAGAAGCUCAGAGGAGGCUUCAGAGCCUAAACGAAGCUUCUUGAGAACCUAAAGAAGGUUCAGAACAAGCAGUUGAUAGAUUCAAGAGGCGAGAUCUGUAAUCGAGAAGCAAGGUUAUGAAUCCGAGGAGAAAGCCAGAGAAAUCUCUGAGUUGAAGCGAACGAACGAGGAUCUGCAACGUUGUUUGAGGGAGAAGGAUUUUGUUCUCAAACGUUUGAAUGAAGCUAACGAUAAGCUUAGAACUGAUGGAGAAGAGAAGAACCGUGGAUUUGAAAAGGAGAGGAGAAAGUUAGUGGUGGCGUUGGAUGAAGCAGGUGAGACGAGCAUUGACUUAGAGCAGAAGAGCAAUGUCUAUAGGGCUGAGAUUGAGGGACUCAAGGGGACUUUAGCGGUGGCGGAGAAGAAGAAGAUUGAAGCUGAGAGGAUUAUGAUCCAACUAAUUAAAGCUAGGAUCCAAAUUUGGCUAUCUGGACAGAAAGAUCUGGACACUGAAAAAAUAUUAAUGUAAGUGAUUUUACGCAUUGUUUAGCUACCAAAUUGUGCUCUGUUAUUCAUAGCUUAGCUUCGUUGGUAGAGCAAGUGAAAAUAUUUAAAACAAAUACAUAUCUGAGCGAGAGUAUAUGAUUGGGUAAUUGAUGUCUCUUGGUUUUUGCAAGUGUUCAAGAAUUCCUGGUGUUCUCUUUGACCUUAUGUUGAUUUAGAGUACAAAAAAUACAGAGGUAAUUACUUUUCUAUUAUCUGCUUGAGGGCUUUGUCUUCGUCAUUUACUUAUCGCCGUUAGCGUUAAAAAGAAGUUUGUGUCAUGUUUGUUGCUUUUAUAUGGCUUGCAAGUUUUGUCUGAAUGACCAGGUGAAGAGAGAGAGAAGCGUCAGUCGCGCUACGUCGGUGCCUCCAUUAGAGAGAAACUGUUUUUAUUGGCAGCAGAGCAGACAAGAAACAACAUGGAGAGUAAUAAUGAAGUCUAUGCUAUGUUAAAAGGUAAAGAUUUGAUAUUGUAAACAUAUGUAUUUAUCACUAGAAGCUAUUUUCUUAUUUUUUGAAUACUAGGCAUGGUGUAGCUGCUGCUAAUUUUUUUACUCAGUUCUCACCUUGGUCAUCUUCUUUAUUGAAUGUCUUCUUCCAUUCACAAACAGGUUUGAAUUCUUGGACAUGGUGGUGAUGCACGAAGUGUUAUUGUGGGCACAAGGAAAGUUUGUGACCACACAACCUUUUUUUGGUUCUAAAAGUUCCAUGUUUCAGACCAUAAACAGUUUCCUCUCAUUGCAGGGCUUGUGAGGAACAUAUACUUCCCGUUUGACAUAGAAAGCAACACAGCAAUUAGCGUUGCAAGAGAGAUGGUGGAAGAGCUGGAGAUGGACGACCGUGAUGUGACAAAGAUAGCUAACAUGAUCGAUGGAGAGAUUGCUUCUCUGGUUCCUGAUUGGAGAUCAGGCCUAGGGUUUGAGAGCAGCCUUUGCAACUGCACCUCGAACCGGUCAGCUAUAGACUUCAACGUGAGGCAGUGUUGUACAAACAUGUGUGGAGAGAAGCAUGGACGGUUUGAGGAGAUCACUUCGGGACUACACAACUUUGGCAAAGCUUUAUAUUCCCAUGGAAAAAUGACAUUUUCGCUGUCUUUUGUUAAUAUGUGUAGAAUUAUUUACAGUAAUGCUGACAAACCAAGAAAUAUCACAGUAAUUAUUUAAUCAUAGCUCAUUAGGCUGGUGACUGUCUUGAAAUUAGUUUAUCA